AUGAGCCUCUCUGAUAUUUUCCGGGGGUUUUUUGGCUUUCCCGGACCUCAGAGGUGAGAGUAGGUUCAGCUUGAACAAAGAGAUCCCUUUUUUGGAGGAAUGACGCGAGUGAAGAUGAGGAUGAAGAAGAGGAAGAAGGAGCUACGUGGGGCUGUGGGAGCCCAAGAUUUGAUGGUCUCCAGUCCCCUGAGGAAUUUGGCUUCAGCUUCAGAUUCAGUCCAGGAGGAGGGAUGCGUUUCCGUGAUAACUUUGGCUUUGAUGACCUAGUACGAGAUUUCAAUAGCAUCUUUGGCGAGAUGGGGGCCUGGACCUUGCCUUCCCAACCUCCUGAGCUUCCAGAGUCAGAGAUACCUUGUGAGAGACUGCGGAAGAGACAGACACUUCGGGACUCAAUGCUUAAGUAUCCAGAUAGUCACCAGCCCAGGAUCUUUGGGGGGGUCUUGGAGAGUGAUGCAAGAACUGAAUCCCCUAAACCAGCACCAGACUGGGGCUCCCAGAGGCCUUUUCAGAGGUUUGAUGAUAUUUGGCCUAUGACCCCCUAUCCUAGAGCCAGAGAGGAUAAUGUCUUGAUUCCCAGGUCUCCCAGGAGGGUCUUGGCCCAGUUCUACAGCCCCAGCCCAAAUCCUAUUUCAAGAGCAUCUCUGUGACCAAGAUCACUAAGCCAGAUGGGGUAGUGGAGGAACGCCGGACUGUGGUGGACAGUGAGGGCCGGACAGAGACCACAGUAACCCGACAAGAAGGAGACAACAGUCAUAUAAGUGAUCUAGAGUCACCAAGGCCGCCAGUCCUGGAUGAUGCCUUUUCCAUCCUGGAUUUAUUCCUAGGACGUUGGUUCCGGUCCCAGUAGCCUUCGGAUCUUUCCCACGUCCCACCAGUUGCCCGUUAUCAAUAAGCUUAGCUUCUCCUGCCAUCUCAGGGGCUUGGGCAUGUGGAACAGUGAAUUGGGGGUAUGUCAGUAUGUCACCCAGACUGACCAAUAAAACUUUAUU